rnacentral:rRNA from 1 species
UACGUAGGCAGCAAGCGUUGUUCGGAAUACUGGGCGUAAAGCGUGCGCAGGCGUUUUGUAAGUCUGUCGUGAAAUCCCCGGGCUCAACCUGGGAAUUCGCGAUGGAGACUGCAAGGCUAGAAUCUGGCAGAGGGGGGUAGAAUUCCACGUGUGAGCAGUCGAAAUGCGUAGGGAUGUGGAGGAACACCGAUGGGCGAAGGCAGCCCCCUG